rnacentral:tRNA from 1 species
UCUCAGGUGGUUCAAUGAUAAAGAAUCUGCCUGCCAAGCAGAAGACCCAGGUUCAAUCCCUGGUCUAGGAA